UGGUAGAGAUCCUUGUAGAAUUUGACAAGAACACUCAGGUUUUGGGAAUCUAAAGUUCUGAUGAUUUGCAUGUCAAUAUUUUGUCGGUAUUUGAGGUAGGUUAAUGAAAGGACUUGUUUAAGAAGGGUGUAGUCAAAAAUUGGCGGUGGGGGGUGGUGGAAUGAGUAAUAAGUAGCAGGCAGGAGUGGCUGCCCGCACCUUGCCAUUAUGUCAAGGUUUCAGUAUGUAGUAGCUACAUGCUUGCUAAGUUGCACCUAGUUUGCCUUGCAGCCAUUUGGCAAGCCUGCCGCAGUGUUAUGAAAUAUGUCCACAGUAAAGAAACAAUCAGCUCACAUGAAAAGAUAUCACUGAUUAACCUAAUUAUGCAUGUACUUCCUGAAAGAAGCCAGUGUUUACCGUACUGUUUUGGGAUUAAGACAGGUGUGGCUAUUUACAAAGAAGAGAUUAGCAAUAAUAGGGCUGGAAACAAUAGCUUGUAAUGAGAACAAAAGGAAGAAGUGGUUAUAAAUACCAAAAAGAACAAAAAAGUUGUCUAAGCACAAAAGAGGUUCAUGUCAGGGAACUGGUGACGGAUUAAUUUGUGGCAGUUCGCUGGCUUUUCAAUGGCUUGUCGAACAGUACCUUUUUCUGGGAGCUAUGAAGGAAGCAUGACAUGUGAGUCAACCUUCAUACACUGUUUGAUUGGCUCAUUCACCAUGCUCCUAUUUCUGGAGAAGGCAUUCCCUCCCUCCCCCUUCCACACAUAGGUGCUGGCAUGUAUGCAACGGGACGCUGGUUGUAUAUAUGGAUAUAUAUAUACACAUAGACAAAAUGUUUUAUUAAAUUUUCUGUUUUACAAUUUAAAAUGCACAAUUUAACAUCCUUAAAAUAUCAAUGACUUCCCUUCUCUUUCUGUGGUUCAUUUUGCAUAUCAUAAAUCCCUGCAUAUUUUACAAAAACUAAGCCAUUCAGUAUUCCAUUAUUGCAUCCACCAAAACUUAUUUACACUGUAGAAUUUAUCUUAAGGCUGCCAACAUUUUUAGGUGUACACAAUUUUCCUCCCAUAUGUUCAAUAAAUGUUUUCCAGUCUUUCUCUAAACGUAUGUUCUUCUUGUUCUCUUAUUCUAUAUGCUAAAUCUACAAUCUGCGCAUAUUCUGUCAGGUUAAGUUGCCAUUCUUCUUUGGUUGGAACCUCACUCAUUUUUGGACUAACAAAACAUGGGCUGCAGUAGUAGCAUACACAAAUAACCUUUUUUGACACCUGGGAAUUUCAGUCUGGGGCAUGGGAGGAAUCAAGGGGCACUUGCCAUUACCAGAUCUCUUCCCCCCUAGUGGAGGCCCCUGCAGCCUGCCGGGCAUAAUAAUAAUAAUAAUAAUAAUAAUAAUAAUAAUAAUAAUAAUAAUACAUUUUUAUUUAUACCCUGCCCUCCCCGGCCAGGGCCGGGCUCAGGGUGGCUAACACCAAAUAUAAAUUACAAUAAAAUGUAAUAGAAAAAAACAACAGUUAAUUAAAAUACGGCUUUAAAAUGCAGCCUCAUUUUAGUAGUAGCCCAUAAAUCGAGACCAUAAAGGGAGGAAACAUCAGAUAUUCACCCAAGCCAGCUAUUCACACUGGUCCUACAUGGGCCAGCAAAAAAGCCAAGGGAAAUUUUAUAUACCAAAUCCCAUAUAAGGGGUCAGAGUGGGUUUAAGCCGAAGGCCAAGCAGAACAGCUCCAUCUUGCAGGCCCUGUGGAAAGAUGUCAAAUCCCGCAGGGCCCUAGUCUCUUGUGACAGAACGUUCCACCACAUUGGGGCCAGUGCUGAAAAGGCCCUGGCCCUAGUUGAAACCAAUCUAACCUCCUUGUGUUGCUAUUUAUGGACCUUAAGGUCCUCCGCGGGGCAUACCAGGAGAGGCAGUCCCGUAGGUAUGAGGGUCCUAGGCCGCAUAGGGCUUUAAAGGUCAAAACCAGCACCUUAAACCUGACCCUUUACUCCACCGGGAGCCAGUGCAGAUGGUAAAGCACUGGAUGAAUGUGAUCCCGCAGCAAGGACCCCGUAAGGAGCCACGCCGCGGCAUUCUGCAACAGCUGGAGUUUCUGGGUCAGCUUCAAGGGCAGCCCCGCAUAGAGCGAGUUAACAAUAAUCAAGCCCGGAGGUGACAGUUGCAUGGAUCACUGUGGCCAGAUCAGGGCGAGAAAGGUAAGGGACCAAUUGCUUAAUAUGGCGGAGAUGGAAAAAUGCCACCUUUGCUGUGGCUGCAACCUGCGCUUCCAUAGAAAGGGGGGCAUCAAAGGUUACAUCCAAACUCUUGACAGAAGGUGCUGGCACUAAUUGAGCCCCCGCAAGAGAUGGGAGUUGGCCCCCCAACCCCAUGCCAUCCCGACCCAGCCAGAGGACCUCUGUUUUUGAAGGAUUUAACUUUAAGCGGCUCCCACGCAGCCAUCCAGCCACAGCUUCCAAGCAUCUGGUCAGUGUGUUUGGGGCCGAGUCUGGGUGGCCGUCAAUCAAUAGAUAAAGCUGGGUGUCAUCAGCAUAUUGAUGACAAUCCAGCCCAAAACAUGUGGAAUGCUCUCCCUAGGAAGGCUCGCUUGGCAUCCACUAUUGUUUUAUCAUGGGCUGGGUUGUAUCCUAUGGCGGUUUUAACUUGCAGAAAGAGCUUCUACUUGGGGCAAGUCAGGGCACCUGAUUUUUGCCGCCCCUCCCUAUAUCCUGCAGCCCUCCAGAACGUAUCACAUUCUGUUCUGGGUGGAGACAACUAUAACCUAUGGUAUCAGAGCAGCUUAGGUGCCUAUGGCAGAUUGGCAGAAAUAUGGGUGCACCAAAUGCUUUCUGCUAAGGAAAAACCACCCCUUGGGUGCAGUCCUGGGUAUUUUACUAGUAGUAGUAGUAGUUGUGUUGUUAACUCUCCCAGCACACAGCUCACCAGCGGCAGCUGCAGCUUCCUCUCAUCUCCUCACCCAUAACUAGCCUCACCUUCCGCUACACAACUAUGAAUUUAACAAUUUGAUGGCAUGAGGGGAAAAACUGUUCCUGUGCCUAGCUGUUUUUGUGUAUAGAGUCCUGUAGCGACAUCCAGAUGGAAGUAAAUCAAACAGAUGAUGACCGGGAUGCAAGGGAUCUGCGACAAUUCGCUCUGUUCUCUUCCUAGCUCGGAUAGUAUAAAGCAGGCAUCCCCAAACUGCGGCCCUCCAGAUGUUUUGGCCUACAACUCCCAUGAUCCCUAGCUAACAGGACCAGUGGUCGGGGAAGAUGGGGAUUGUAGUCCAAAACAUCUGGAGGGCCGAAGUUUGGGGAUGCCUGGUAUAAAGUGUCUCUGUUGAAGGCAAACUAGCACCAAUUACCCUUUCUGCAAUUCUUACUGCUCGUUGGAGCCCUUUCUUGUCCAUCUUGGAGGCUGUGCCAUACCAGGCAGUAAUAGAAUUACAGAGAACAGUUUCAAUGAUACUUCUAUAAAAUUGGAUCAACAUUACCUGGGGCAAAUUAAAUUUUCUUAGUUGACGCAAGAAAUACAACCUCUGGUGGGGCUUUUUAAUAAUACUAUUGAUGUUGCUUGACCAAUUUAAGUUUUGAGAAAUUAUAGAGCCCAGGAACUUAAGGACUCUACUACUACAACCAUGUUACCAUGGAUGGAAAGUGGUGGCAAGAUGGAAGAGUGCUUUCUGAAAUCAAUUACAGUAAUACCUCGGGUUACGAACGCGAUCCGUUCCGGGUCGCAGUUCGUAACCCGAAUAGUUCGUAAACCGAACGCGACCCGAAGCGCCAUUUUGCGCAUGUGCAGACCGCGCGCGCCGCUUCUGCGCACGCGCGCGGGGCGAAAACACUUCCGGGGUUGCGCAGUUCGUAACCCGAACUGUUCGCAAACCGAGGUGUUUGUAACCCGAGGUACGACUGUACCAUUUCCAAUGUCUUUGGGGCAUUUAGCACCAAAUUAUUCCUGCACCACGAAACAAGAUGAUCUGUUUCCCGCCUAUAUGCAGAUUCAUUGUUCUCCCAGGUAAGCCCAGUAACUGUUGUAUCAUCUGCAUAUUUCAAGAUCUUAACCGAUGGAUCAGUUGAGGUGCAGUCAUUUGUGUAUAGAGAGAAAAGCAGUGGGGAAAGCACACACCCCUGGGGAGCACCUGUACUGAUGGUAUUGUUGCUCAAUAUAAUUUCCCCCAACUUCAUCUGCUGCCUCCUGUCCGUUAAAAAGCUGUAUGUCCAUUGGCAAACAGGAGCAGGUACAUUAAGAUGAAGUAAUUUAGAAAACAAUUUAGAUGGAACAAUAGUAUUAAAAGCAGAGCUAAAGUCUAUAAAUAAAACUCGCACAUAGGCCCGCAGGGAAUCCAGAUGUUGCAGGAUGUAGUGCAAUGCCAUGUUGACCGUAUCAUCUACUGACCUAUUAGCUUGAUAAGCAAAUUGCAAAGGAUCCAGCAAAGGGUCAAUAGCGUCUUUCAAAUAGGCCAACACUAGUCUCUCAAAGACUUUCAUUACCACAGAUGUUAAAGCAACUGGUCUAUAAUCGUUCAUCACACUGAUGGAAGAUUUCUUAGGUACUUAAAUCAAUAUAACCGGUUUGAAAUCCAUAUGGUGACAUUGGUUUCUUAAUUUCGGACCUAGCACUAUAUCAUGAAUCACGGUAUGUGUGUGUGUGUGCUCUGCAAAAACCACAAUGUGGGGGAAACUGAAGCCAGGCAAUGCCUCUCAUAGCCCCAACCUUAUUUCAGACAUCGCGAUAUAUCAAUACUGUAUAGCGUGAUAUAUAGCUGGUGGUAUAUUGUGAUGCUGUAGCAAGCAGGCACACUGGGCAGCAGGAAGGACAUGGGUUAUCCGCAGCUGCCCAACAAUGCCAGCCAACGUCUCCAGCCCUGCUGGUGACCCUGGUAACUCUAGCAUUAGAAAAGUUGGAUCAACCUUGUGUAUUCUUCUGUUUCCCCUUAAAUAUGGAAGGGGAGUUCUUUCAGGCGUUGGCACCUCCUUACAGAGUGUUGCCUGUGUUUCUCGCUCCUUAACUGAGAGCGGCAUCUCCAAGAAUUGCCCUUCCCCUUGCAGAGCGUACAACCCCACUUUUCCCUCUGAAGGCACAGAAAACCACCUCACUUUCAGGCGCCUCCUCCCCAGAAGGGGCUGGCGUGGGUGGUGUGGUUCUUGCUGUCGCUAAACUGAGCAUCCAACCCGGGGCGGCCCAAGUGGAAGAAAGGAGACAGUGACUGUGUUGCACACGCUCUGCCUUGGACCUUGUAUCCCAAGGAGCUGCUUUCUCGAGGAGCUGUUUGUUUUGGCUUGCUUUCUGUGGUGCUGCCACCUGACAAGUCACUUUCCGAGGAAAGGAAAGGAAAGGCAGUUGAACUCCGUAUUGUUAUUGAACCUGCUUCCCCAAUUCAAACACAAACGGAUAAGAAAGAUUAACAUUGCCGUCCUAGGAAUGCUUGCCCUUAAAUAAGUCCUGCGGAGUUCAGCGUGGCAUAUUCCCAAGAAAUAGCGCAUAGGAUUUCAGCUUCUCUGCAAGCAUUUCCAGCUGAACUGACCUCUGAGUACAUCCAGUUGCCUAGAGCAGGCAUGGCCAACAGGUAGAUCGCGAUCUACCGGUAGAUCCCCAGGACGUUUCUGGUAGAUCCCGGGUAGAUUGUGGGUUCCUUAGUGAUCGCCAGCCUAAAAGAAAAGAAAGAGCUCUCCCCCUAAAAAACCCCUCAAGAACUCUUGUCUCUCCCCCACAAAAAAGCUCAAUAACCAUGGGCAAUUGCAGGGAGAGCUCCUUCCCUCUUUCCGAUACAGAGCUUACCAGUAUAUGUGUGACUGUGUUAGUGCGUUGCACAGAAUGGCUGGAUUGCUCCCUGUCCCUUUUGCCUGCCUAGAGCUCUCCGGCUCCUCCUCCUGGCUCCUCCUUGCUUUUAUGCAACUCUCUCCCAAGAAAUCUCUGAAAGUUUCUGUUGUCCCCCGUAAAAAAGUAUUUGGGCAGUGCUCCCCCCCAAAAGGUUACCAAAUUUGGUCACCCCCUUUCUUUCUCCCUAAAAAAGCUCAACAACUUAGAGCCGAACCCCCCAAAAUGGGGGUAGAUCACCGCCAGAUUUUAAUUCUGAAAGUAGAUCACAUUCUCUUGGAAGUUGGCCACCCCUGGCCUAGAGCAAUAAUAAACAGCUACCCCUGUAAAUGUAAAUAAGUCUAGUAUGGUUCUCCUCUUUAAAAAGUUGUGAAUCUGAAUACCAAAGUGUCACAGAGGGGGCAUGUGGAGUGAUGGAAAUUUGACUCACCUCACUCUAGCUUGAAGCUGGGUUUGGAACAGAACUGGCUUGAUUACCCUGAUGGACGACCUGUAUUUUCCAUUUCCCCUAAAGUCAAAAAAAGGCAUAGGAGUCUGUUGGGACACAUCUUUUUAUUUUCUUCUAAGCUAAUCUUGUCUCUAAUAGAGAAGAAGAAUAAAAAGCUCCGCAAGUUUCCUGGUGGUUUUUGUCCUGCUUGUCAAGGGGCUCUGCAGCCCAAGAGAUUUUAGAAAAGUAGUCAUCUUUUUUUUAAUCUGCUUUAUAAGCUCACUUUCUUUUUGAAUGUUCCCUGUAUACAUUAAGCCUUUAAACAUACAGGCAUAUUGAGGCAUACGAGAAAAUCUGUGCUGAGCAGAAAACUUUAUUCCAGUUUCACAGUGCUGCAUGGCAAGAUGCCCUUUGUCUGUAGUGCAAAUAGGUAUCUUUGGACAUGUGAAUGCUUGUUGGGCAUGGUUGGCUGUUUCAUUUUUGUAUCUGACAAAACAUCUCGUGCAAGAUUUACAGCCUGGUAAGUUGUUACAACAGCUCUGAAAACAGGUGUGUGAAGCACACAAUGCAAACUGCUUGGUUGUUUUUUUGGCUAAGACCAAUGGCUCUCUACCAUGGGCAUAUAUAAUACCUUCCUCUUGACACAACAACAGCUUUUCACAAUGCCUUUUAACAUCCAAGACAACGUUCAACCCAGACACUGAGGUCUAGCUCUGAUGGCCUUAUGGCGGUUCCCUCACUGUGAGGAGUGAGGUUACAGGGAGCCAGGCAGAGAGAGGGCCUUCUUGGUAGUGGCACUCUCUCUGUGGAAUGCCCACCAAUUAGGAGAUAAAAAAACUUUUAGAAGGCAUCUGACGGCAGCCCUGUAUCAUUUGACGUUUUAUUGUGUUUGUAUAUGUGCUGGAAGCUGCCCAGAGUGGCUGGGGCAAUCCAGCCAUAUGGGGCAUAAAUAAUAAAAUUACCAUAUUUUCCGGCGAAUAAAACAACUGGGUGUAUAAGAUGACCCCCAACUUUUCCAGUUAAAAUGUAGAGUUUGGGAUAUACUCGCUGUAUAAAUAAGACGACCCGGCAUUUGAGACGACCCCCGACUUUUGAGAAGCUUUUCCUGGGUUAAAAAGUAGCCUUAUACGCAGGAAAAUACAGUAUUAUUAUCAUAACACGCAAAAUGCUAUAAUUUUGUCUUCAGGCCAAUGGACUUUUCCUACAACAAGCAGGUUGCUUUGUACUUGACUUAUUAUUAUUAUUAUUAGAAUUUAUAUACUGCCCUAUACCCGUGGGUCUUAGGGCGGUUCACAGAAUAUAAUCAAGAUCUAAAACUACAAAAUACAUAUUAAAAAUAAAAACAACAAUCCAAUAGCUCCCCCCCCCCAUUUUUUAAAAAUAUAUAAAAAGGGCAUAGGAUGUAAAUCAGAUCAACCAAAGUCCUGGUUAAAAAGGAACAUUUUUGCCUGGUGCCUAAAGGUGUAUAAUGAGGGCGCCAGGCAAACUUCCCUGGGUAGAGCAUUCCACAGAUGGGGAGCCACUGCAGAGAAGGCCCAUUCUCGUUUUGCCACCCUCCAGACCUCUUGAGGAAGAGGCACACGAAGAAGGGCCUCAGAUGAUGAUCUCAGGGUCCGGGUAGGUCCAUAUGGAAAGAGGCCGUCCUUGAGGUAUUGCAGUCCUGCGCCAUUUAAGGCUUUAUAGGUUAAAACCAGCACUUUGAAUUGAGCCUGGAAACUAACUUUUAACCAAUAUUGCUACCAAUUUUGUCCAGGGCACAGACUUCAGACAGCCUGCCAAUCACUGUCACCUUUGUUUCAGGCUCCUGUUCCCUUCUGUGCCUCAAGAGGGCUCCAAAUGGACACAGCAUGCAUGGUUUGCUAAUCUGAGGUCAAGAAGUUCUCAGUUCGAGGUCCCUGAGCCCUUGGCAGCAAGGGGAAAGUUGCAUACUGCCAUGCAAACGGCUCAUUCAGGCUUGUUUUAAUCUUGCCCUUCAUAUCCACUCCUUCUCAAAUAUUUUCAAAUGCACGAGAGCUGACGCAGCCAGUCUUCCAUUUGUUUAUCACUCCUCCCCAUAUUUCCCCCUAUUGCUGGCAGCUGAUUUUUAGUUGAUGUAUUUUCAGUCAAAUUGUGAAGGGUUUCUGGUUUAUUUAUGUCUAGAGAAGCCCAGCUUUGUCCGAAGGAUAACUCUUAUUGAAUAUGAUAAAGAUCUUUUGUCACUUGUUUUGUUUGCAGGUGUCUUUUUAUAAGACAUCCUCUAAUCCCUUCAGGAAGAAAUAUUUUCUCCUUCUUAAAAAAAGAGAGAGAGAAGAGAAGAGAAAGAAAUCAGUAUUAACUAAGUAUAAAAGCUCUGAGCCUCUACCAUUGUUGUUGAUUCUUUGAGGGACAUUUCCCAACAGUCAUUGUUCAAAUGGUUGUCAGGAGGAAUCAAGUGAAACUCAAUAAACAAUGCCGUAACUGGUUCCUCUCACUUUGUGUGCAGAAGCUUUUCUUGAGAGGAUUUGCAUUGAAGAAGUGGUCCAUUUUCGAGUUAUCAUAGGGUCAUUUAGAAGCAUUCCAGCCUCUUCUUUUUUUGCUUUACUAGCAGUUGCAUAUUUCAGUUCUGCACAAAUAAGCUUGACCUAUCUAGGCCUUGGAAGACUUUGAGGCGAGCACUGGAGGAAGAAAAACAAACCUGCAAAUACCUCAGGGAUGCUGUUGCUCUUUCCAGAGUUAGGGUAUAGAUUUUAAGAGAAAAUUUUAAAGCUUCCUGCUUGCAUUGUUGUGCUGCAUGCAUCCAUAAUAAUUGAUUUAAUAGACUGGAUAGCUUUCCUGGAAUGCAACCCCCCAAAAUUCCCCCAUUGAGUUCACUGAGGCUUACUUUUGGUUAGUUGGUACUACAUUGCACAAAUUAUUGUAUUCAGUGGGACUUCUAAUUGGGCUUCUCUGGAGAUUUUUCAUAAAGCACUUGCUGCCAAAAUGCUAAUGUAUAGGAUUUGUGUCUGUUUCUAAGUAUUGUGUGUUUUAUAUUUGCAAAGACCCUUACUUCAGAACGCCUAGAUGUGACCUGCAAUUUCGUGUAUGUUUUCUUGGAAGGAAAUCCCACUAUUUUCAGUAAGCAUAUUUAGGCUUGCAGCCUUAAACUUGAAGAGAACUGUGUAGAUGGUCCCUUGACAGCUUUUGACCCUAGCUAGCCACUUUGAAAAAUAUUGGCUGUUGAAUUAUGCCAAAUAUUUUAACUCAAGUUCUUCACAGUUCCUUUAGUUUAGCCUCUCUCUCUCUCUCUCUCUCUCUCUCUCUCUCUCUCUCUCUCUCUCUCUCGGUAUUAUAUAUUGAUUUUUAAAGAAUAAUUUUAUAGGUUUUUUUAUUGUAACAAAUUAUCCAAUCAAUAAGAUUGCAGGGUAUCUUGUCAUCCAGCUUCUAGACCAGAGGAAUGUAGAAAGUUGAAAAUAUUUUGUCCAUCAACUUUAAUUUCUUUUUCCUUUUUCUUCUCCUCAAUGUCGAGUUUGGGUUUUUAUUUUAUUUUAAAGCCCACCUCAAGACUUUGCUUUGUUUCUGGAGAAACAUUGUGUGCUCUCUGCAGCUGCCCUUGGAGAGGGGGGGUGGGGGUGGGGAAAGGCCAGUGAUUUAUUGAAGCAAGCUGAAUUGAAAACCCUCUCUUUUUUUCCCUCCCCAAAAUCAACAGCUUGACUGAGUUUAAAUAACUGACUUUUCAUAUCCUUUCAUCACACACAAAGACCUAAUCCUGAGACUACUUGAGCCACCAAUGUCGGCUGUGGACAAGACCACCACUGGAAAUGUCACUCCCUUCUCACCACACACAAAAACACAUUGACUGCAGCUUUAUGAAGUGAAAAUGCCAAAGAAAAGGAAAAUGCGAACGAGGUGGCCACAGUCAUUUUUUUCCCCGAAGGGGGGGGGGGAGAGGGAGAAAAACUGCUGCAUCUGGAUAUUAAGGACAAAAAGUGCCUAAGACGACAAUAAUAGCUUGGGUCACUAACUUUCAUAAGUGCAAAUGAGUGGAACUGCCUCUGUUUGUUUCAAUACCACUGACCCUUAUAUUUUAUUGUGUGGAAAUGUCAGGGAAAGUGUGUUGGAAGGCAUUCCGGCCUCUUUUAGCUUAACAAUCCCGGUCGUCAUUUUGAGAUUCCCAAGUGCUUCUCCACCCCAACCGCCUGCCCUCUUUCAUGGGCAAAGUAGAUUUAGACAAUUUUUGCGUCCUUGAUUAUGAUUACAUUCACAUUCCUCUCUUUUUUUAUAUAGUUUAUAAGCUAAAUGCAUUACUUGAUGCUUGUGUGUGGAUUUGCUUAAUCCGUAAGGACAGAAGGCCCCUAUUGAUUUAUUGCCUCUCAUUGGCCUCCGCCAUUAUUAUUAUUUUUUACUGUGAAAUGAGCAGGCAGGGAGAAGGAAAAAUGCCAUUCUUGUUAUUUAAACAACUCCUUUUUGGAGUUCAGGGCAUUUGGGGACAGACCAUGGACACCUCUCAUAGCAGUUCUGUGAGAUGAGCCGGAGUAGAAAUGAUCUUCAAAUCUGACAUUGGGUGGGCUCAUAUGAAGAAACUUAUAUAACAUAGCACAAUACUGACGGAAGGUCCCUUCCAUCUUGUCUUGUCUCCUUUGGAUUGUGUGUGUAGAUCUAACCCAGAG